ACGGAAGGCAGCAGUGGGGAAUGUUGCACAAUGGGGGAAACCCUGACGCAGCAACGCCGCGUGAGUGAUGACGGUCUUCGGAUUGUAAAGCUCUGUCUUUAGGGACGAUAAUGACGGUACCUAAGGAGGAAGCCACGGCUAACUACGUGCCAGCAGCCGCGGUAAUACGUAGGUGGCAAGCGUUGUCCGGAUUUACUGGGCGUAAAGGGAGCGUAGGUGGAUAUUUAAGUGGGAUGUGAAAUACCCGGGCUUAACCUGGGUGCUGCAUUCCAAACUGGAUAUCUAGAGUGCAGGAGAGGAAAGGAGAAUUCCUAGUGUAGCGGUGAAAUGCGUAGAGAUUAGGAAGAAUACCAGUGGCGAAGGCGCCUUUCUGGACUGUAACUGACACUGAGGCUCGAAAGCGUGGGGAGCAAACAGGAUUAGAUACCCUGGUA
rnacentral:rRNA from 1 species